UUUACCUCCUCCGUCCAAACAUUGUUAAAAAAACAAUUUUCCUUAUCCAUCUCUUCCCCCCUCCCCCGAUUCCUCUCCUACCAGGAUUCCAUAACCACGAUGCCGCGUGCGCCGCCGCCGUCGCCUCCUAUGAUUUGGGCGAGCUCCGGCGCUCUCUCGCGGCAUAGCUCGCCGACCCUGCUCCUCCCGCCGAUCCUCCACCACCGCGACGUCCUCAACACCCUGCCCGUGCCCCUGCAUCAACCUAGUCGCCACGGGUCGUGGUCGCAGCUCCUGCCCCUCCGGUUGGUCGGCUCACUACCCCCCGCAUCUCCGAACGCGCGGUCGCUGCCACAGGCUGGAUGGCGCUGUUCCGCCACGUCUACAUCGUCUCCGGCGCCGAUAGUUUUGUGAGACACUUCUCCCCUAUGUUCUUAUCGUCUCUGGUGCUUUAUGUGGCAUGGCUACCAAGGGUUUGUCGUCGUGGCGUCGUAGAUGAUGGCUGGAUAUACCAAUAACUAUGGCCGCUCUCUCCCAGGGAGGCUGCCAUGGUCGCCUACUGCCUACCUCAUCGCUCACCUGGAUUAUCUCCCUGAAGAACGUGACAAUUCUAUUAUUUCCACUAAUCUGUUCCCCCCGAUUUAACAACAGGGUGGCUUCUAUAAUUCCAUUGGAAUUUGGUUCCCUAUCUUCUCUAACCUUCCACUCGUGCUAUGGGUGGACCAUUUACUUUAGUUAAAUUAUGGCUAGUGUUCUCUUCUUUUUGUUGUUGAAGGAAACCUGAUCCUCUAAUUUUGCUAUGCAGGUUUCUGCUGGUGAUCUUCUGCUUUAGUAGUUCAGACCAUAGUCAUAUUUGUAUAUCCAUAUGUACUUAUUUCUCUAGAUGUAUAUCAUACUCUAGAGUGCUAGAUUACACUGCAGAACAAAGUAAUUAUUUUGCCUCAGAUGACUAUUGUCCACCAAUCUUGUUUAUAUCAAUGCUUGCAUCCUCUGAGGCUUAUCAGGAGAGAAUCUAGUUUUCCAUGGAAACAAGGGUGAUCGCGCAUUAUUUAUUCACUCAUGUUACCAAAGCUUCUGUCGUCAAGAAGGCAGUAAUAUUCCAAGUGCAUAACUACUUCUUAUUCAGUAAUAUUAAGCAUGAUUAUACAUACCUACAUAUUAAAAAGGUAUAUGAAUCAUAGUCUAGACAUCUCACACUUGCUAGCAUGCGUAAGUGUGUAUGUAAAUUUGAUCGAUUUGAUGAUUUUGUUUAACUUUAGGUACUUCUAAAUUCUCAUAUGUUUGUAUUUAUUCACAUAUUAUGAUGAACUGCAAUCUUCUUUAGAUCAGAAGGAUGCAUCACAACAAAAAAUGCUUCACGAGAUGCCACUUCACAUCUUUUAUUCUCACCAGUAUGUGAAUUUUAAGUUGUUACUUAGUGAACUAUAGUCUUGCAGGUUUACACAUAAUAUUAAAGAUAUAAAUCUACCCGAGGUAAUCAGAUUGCGCAUUUGAAUGAGUGCUGCAAGCUGGGAAGGUAAAUAUGACCAGCGAUGAUGGCAGUACGUCAAUGACGUCAUGUAGGUGUGGUGUUCAUUGAUCCCUUCCCUCUUUUUGUUUGUGCAGGCGGUGUGUGUAUAUGGAUUCAUCUUUAUAUGUCAUGUUAAUUGUUCAUUUAGAUUGAUCUCUCUCCCCCAAAACGUUUACCCCAUGUAUUUGAUAUCAUUUUUGAAAAUAUUGAUUAGUUUGGUGCCAACUCUUUCUAGAUUAUUUCAGAUGUGAUUUCUUGAUUAGAAAAAUAAUAUCACUAGAGGUAAUUUCUAUUGUAAUUUGUGUAUGUGUUUUUCAUGUUGUGCAAUAGUAUUUUUUUCUCUUUCUCAAGAAUCUUUCUCUUUCUCUUUCUCUUUCUCUUUCUCAAGAAUCUUGAUUAUUGAUGCAUAUGAUUGUAGGAUAAUUAACUGUAACAACUACUCUGUGCAUGUGCCUAUGCUCUGACUUCGGAAGUGCAAACCAAUAAAAAGAGAGAUGAAGCAUAUGCAGUUUACUAUAGCUGCAAUUGGCAUGAACUAUCUUCAGUAUAUGGAGUUAUGGAUGCCAGGAGAAACUAAUGAUUUUGGUUUUAGUUAAUGAAGGCUGAACAUGUCAGUCUAGAUGCUCAUGUGAUGAGCUUAGUUUCUUUCUUUCCUUCAAGGAAGCUUCGACCUGUUUCUGUAUAGAGUGCACAUGUUCUUGUAAAAUACAUGUGUACAAGCUGAUAGCGUUCUUUGUAAAGCAACAAUGUGUUCUUUGUAAAACAACAUUGUUGAUUUAAUAUAUGAGGUCUUUCUUACUAUAUUA